rnacentral:tRNA from 1 species
UGGGGAGUCGCCAAGCGGUAAGGCAGCGGCCUUUGGAGCCGCCAUUCGGGGGUUCGAAUCCCUCCUCCCCAGCCA